rnacentral:rRNA from 1 species
CUCCUACGGGAGGCAGCAGUGAGGAAUAUUGGUCAAUGGGCGAGAGCCUGAACCAGCCAAGUAGCGUGAAGGAUGACUGCCCUAUGGGUUGUAAACUUCUUUUAUAAAGGAAUAAAGUCGGGUAUGGAUACCCGUUUGCAUGUACUUUAUGAAUAAGGAUCGGCUAACUCCGUGCCAGCAGCCGCGGUAAUACGGAGGAUCCGAGCGUUAUCCGGAUUUAUUGGGUUUAAAGGGAGCGUAGAUGGAUGUUUAAGUCAGUUGUGAAAGUUUGCGGCUCAACCGUAAAAUUGCAGUUGAUACUGGAUAUCUUGAGUGCAGUUGAGGCAGGCGGAAUUCGUGGUGUAGCGGUGAAAUGCUUAGAUAUCACGAAGAACUCCGAUUGCGAAGGCAGCCUGCUAAGCUGCAACUGACAUUGAGGCUCGAAAGUGUGGGUAUCAAACAGGAUUAGAUACCCUGGUAGUCCACACGGUAAACGAUGAAUACUCGCUGUUUGCGAUAUACAGUCUGCGGCCAAGCGAAAGCGUUAAGUAUUCCACCUGGGGAGUACGCCGGCAACGGUGAAACUCAAAGGAAUUGACGGGGGCCCGCACAAGCGGAGGAACAUGUGGUUUAAUUCGAUGAUACGCGAGGAACCUUACCCGGGCUUAAAUUGCAGAUGAAUUACGGUGAAAGCCGUAAGCCGCAAGGCAUCUGUGAAGGUGCUGCAUGGUUGUCGUCAGCUCGUGCCGUGAGGUGUCGGCUUAAGUGCCAUAACGAGCGCAACCCCUCUCCUUAGUUGCCAUCAGGUUAAGCUGGGCACUCUGGGGACACUGCCACCGUAAGGUGUGAGGAAGGUGGGGAUGACGUCAAAUCAGCACGGCCCUUACGUCCGGGGCUACACACGUGUUACAAUGGCAGGUACAGAGAGACGGUCCCUUGCAAAAUGGAUCAAAUCCUUAAAGCCUGUCUCAGUUCGGACUGGGGUCUGCAACCCGACCCCACGAAGCUGGAUUCGCUAGUAAUCGCGCAUCAGCCAUGGCGCGGUGAAUACGUUCCCGGGCCUUGUACACACCGC